CAGCAGCCGCGGGAAUACAGAGGGUGCGAGCGUUAAUCGGAUUUACUGGGCGUAAAGCGUGCGUAGGCGGCUAAUUGAGUCGGAUGUGAAAUCCCCGAGCUUAACUUGGGAAUUGCAUUCGAUACUGGUUAGCUAGAGUGUGGGAGAGGAUGGUAGAAUUCCAGGUGUAGCGGUGAAAUGCGUAGAGAUCUGGAGGAAUACCGAUGGCGAAGGCAGCCAUCUGGCCUAACACUGACGCUGAGGUACGAAAGCAUGGGGAGCAAACAGGAUUAGAUACCCGAGUAGUCCCUGUCUCUUAUAU
rnacentral:rRNA from 1 species